AGAGUUUGAUCCUGGGCUCAGGAUGAACGCUAGCGGCGGGCUUAAUACAUGCAAGUCGAACGGUAACAGGUCUUCGGACGCUGACGAGUGGCGCACGGGUGCGUAACACGUACACAACCUACCCUAAAGAGGGGGAUAGCUCUUGGAAACGAGGAAUAAUACCCCAUAGUACUUGUUGGUCGCAUGGUUGACAAGUUAAAGGUUUACUGCUUUAGGAUGGGUGUGCGGGCCAUUAGGUAGUUGGAGAGGUAACGGCUCACCAAGCCUACGAUGGUUAGCUGGUCUGAGAGGAUGAUCAGCCACACGGGCACUGAGACACGGGCCCGACUCCUACGGGAGGCAGCAGUAAGGAAUAUUGGACAAUGGGCGAAAGCCUGAUACAGCCACGCCGCGUGCAGGAUGAAGGUCCUCUGGAUUGUAAACUGCUUUUGACAGAGACGAACGGUCGGGAUUUAUCUUGAAUUGACGGUAUCUGUCGAAUAAGCACCGGCUAACUACGUG
rnacentral:rRNA from 1 species